rnacentral:rRNA from 1 species
CCCUUAGAUGUUCUGGGCUGCACGCGUGCUACACUGAUAUUGCCAAUAUGUCAUUCUUAUCCGAAAUGGAUUGGGUAAUCAAGUAAUGAAAUUUCAUGCUUGGAAUCGGUAAUUGCAAUUUUAUCGUGAACGAGGAAUUCCUAGUAAGCACUAGUCAUCAGCUAAUGUUGAUUAUGUCCCUGCCCUUUGUACACACCGCCCGUCGCUACUACUGAUUGGGUGUUCAAGUGAGAUGCUUAGACCCUUGUUGCAUGGUUCAUUAUUGUGCUCCGAACGGAAAAAGUUUCAAGCUUGAGUGUCUAGAGGAAGUAAAAGUCGUAACA